rnacentral:rRNA from 1 species
GAUGAACGCUGGCGGCGUGCCUAAUACAUGCAAGUCGAGCGAACAGAUGAGAAGCUUACUUCUCUGAUGUUAGCGGCGGACGGGUGAGUAACACGUGGGUAACCUACCUAUAAGACUGGGAUAACUCCGGGAAACCGGGGCUAAUACCGGAUAAUAUUUUGAACCGCAUGGUUCAAUAGUGAAAGACGGUUUCGGCUGUCACUUAUAGAUGGACCCGCGCCGUAUUAGCUAGUUGGUAAGGUAACGGCUUACCAAGGCGACGAUACGUAGCCGACCUGAGAGGGGGAUCGGCCACACUGGAACUGAGACACGGUCCAGACUCCUACGGGAGGCAGCAGUAGGGAAUCUUCCGCAAUGGGCGAAAGCCUGACUGAGCAACGCCGCGUGAGUGAUGAAGGUCUUCGGAUCGUAAAACUCUGUUGUUAGGGAAGAACAAAUUUGUUAGUAACUGAACAAGUCUUGACGGUACCUAACCAGAAAGCCACGGCUAACUACGUGCCAGCCGCCGCGGUAA